rnacentral:rRNA from 13 species
UGACUGGGGCGGUCGCCUCCUAAAGAGUAACGGAGGCGCACAAUGGUAAGUUCAAAUUAAAUAAAUUUAAUUGUAGAGCGCAAUAGUAUAUUGCUUGCCUGACUGUAAGAUUGACAAAUCAAGCAGGGACGAAAGUCGGUUAUAGUGAUCCGGUGAUUCUGUGUGGAAACGAUCAUCGCUCAACGGAUAAAAGGUACGCCGGGGAUAACAGGCUGAUACUGCCCAAGAGUCCAUAUCGACGGCAGUGUUUGGCACCUCGAUGUCGGCU